rnacentral:lncRNA from 1 species
GCUUGUUUAGGAGACCUAAACCUAAUUUAAUUAGGUUAAAUCCUUGUUUAAGGCCUUUAAAAGGCCUAUGCCUCAAUAGAGAGGAGCAGGUGAUUGAUUUUUUGCUGAGGACAUCGUGUGGAAUCCAAAAAGAAAAAGAGAGAAACGUAAGAUCGCUGAGAAAGAAAGAGCAGGGCUUCUGGACAGCGGACGUUAGAUACUUCAGGGGU